GGCAAUAUCAUGUUGAAAUACUGGUUCUUGUACAAUCACCAAAGUUAAGCAACAUCAAGCCUGGUCAGUACCUAGACGGGUGACCACUUGUGAAUACCAGGUACUGCAAU